rnacentral:rRNA from 1 species
GACGAACGCUAGCGGCGGGCUUAAUACAUGCAAGUUUAGGGGUUCAGCAAUGGACACCGGCGGACGGGUGCGUAACACGUAUGCAACCUGCCCUUUACUGGAGGAUACUCCGGAGAAAUUCGGCACAACACUCCAUAUACUCAUACUUUCGCAUGGGAGAAUGAGGAAAGGUUACGGUAAAGGAUGGGCAUGCGUCUGAUUAGCUAGUUGGCGAGGUAACGGCUCACCAAGGCGACGAUCAGUAGCUGGUCUGAGAGGAUGAUCAGCCACACUGGCACUGAGAUACGGGCCAGACUCCUACGGGAGGCAGCAGUAGGGAAUAUUGGUCAAUGGGCGAAAGCCUGAACCAGCCACGCCGCGUGCAGGAAGAAGGUCCUCUGGAUUGUAAACUGCUUUUGCCAAGGGAUAAAGAGAGGCUAUACGCCUAAAUGAAGGUACUUGGUGAAUAAGCCACGGCUAACUACGUGCCAGCAGCCGCGG